rnacentral:lncRNA from 1 species
GCGGCUUGUUUUCCCGGCUAGGCUCUGGAGCGGCGGGCGCGGCGCGAUGCGCGGGUACCCGGGAGCGAACGGCUGCAAGCCCCGAUGAAGCUCGAGCAGCCCCAGCCUGAUGGAGGCGCCUCCGUGGGAGCCGGUGCGCAAUGACUCCCUGCCUCCCACGCUGAGCCCCGCGGUGCCGCCCUACGUGAAGCUCGGCCUCACCGCGGUCUACAACCGUCUUCUACGCGCUCCUCUUCGUGUUCAUCUAUGCGCAGCUCUGGCUGGUGCUGCGCUACCGUCACAAGCGGCUCAGCUACCAGAGCGUCUUCCUCUUCCUUUGCCUCUUCUGGGCCUCGCUGCGUACCGUGCUCUUCUCCUUUUACUUCCGAGACUUCGUGGCAGCCAACUCGUUCAGCCCCUUCGUCUUCUGGCUGCUCUACUGCUUCCCCGUGUGUCUACAGUUCUUCACCCUCACGCUCAUGAACUUGUACUUCACGCAGGUGAUUUUCAAGGCCAAGUCAAAAUAUUCUCCAGAGCUACUCAAAUACCGGUUACCCCUCUACCUGGCCUCACUUUUCAUCAGCCUCGUUUUCCUGUUGGUGAAUCUGACCUGUGCUGUGCUGGUGAAGACGGGAGACUGGGACAGGAAGGUUAUCGUCUCUGUGAGAGUGGCCAUCAAUGACACACUCUUUGUGCUGUGUGCUAUCUCUCUCUCCAUCUGCCUCUACAAAAUCUCCAAGAUGUCCCUGGCGAACAUCUACUUGGAGUCAAAGGGCUCAUCAGUGUGUCAGGUAACUGCCAUUGGUGUCACCGUCAUCUUGCUCUACGCCUCUCGGGCCUGCUACAACCUGUUCAUCUUGUCAUUUUCUCAGAUCAAGAACGUCCAUUCCUUUGAUUAUGACUGGUACAAUGUAUCCGACCAGGCAGAUCUGAAGAGCCAGCUGGGUGAUGCCGGCUACGUAGUGUUUGGCGUGGUGCUUUUCGUGUGGGAGCUCCUACCCACCACCUUGGUGGUUUAUUUCUUUCGAGUCAGAAAUCCCACGAAGGAUCUUACCAAUCCUGGGAUGGUCCCCAGCCAUGGAUUCAGUCCCAGAUCUUACUUCUUUGACAACCCCCGAAGAUAUGACAGUGAUGAUGACCUUGCCUGGAACAUUGCCCCUCAGGGACUUCAGGGAAGUUUUGCUCCAGACUACUGUGAUUGGGGACAACAAAAUAACAGCUUCCUGGCACAAGCAGGAACUUUGCAUCAAGACUCCACUUUGGAUCCAGACAAAGCAAGCCAAGGGUAGCAGCAGCUGACACAGCCCUAUGGAAGAGUUCUCUGUUGACAGCCUUCAGCCAGACAGACCGGAUGACAGCUGAGUUGCUAAGGCAGUUUUCCUUAGGAAACAGAACUCUAGUUUUUGCUAUAGCUUUCUCAUGGCUCCACAGGGCUAAGCAAUAAUUUAGAGCAAUAAACCCUUUAGUACUAGCAGAGAAUCUGGCUAUUUCAGUGGGUAUAAUUUAAACUUAUAAAAGAGAUUCUGUACUUUUAUAAAGAUGUAUUUUAUAUAACUUAAAUACUAAUGCUAAAGUAUACUAGGUUUUUCCUUGAUUGUUAAUUUGUUAAUUGCAACGUAUGUUGUAGUUUGCACAGACUUUCACGCAGAAUUCACUUUAAAACGUAUAGAAUGCGUGGUCUAAUAGUUUAAAGCUUUGGGAAAACUUUCCACAAAUCUUACCUCUGAAGGUUCCUCUUGUGAGUGCCACGUGGUGGGCUCCUUUCACCGCCACUCAAGCAUUCCAAGUUAAGGGGAAGCAGAGUACCACGGUCUGUACGUAACAGGCUCAGCAGCAGCAAUUUCUCGUAAACUCUGUCCUAAGCCUGGUCCUUCUUCAUCUGAAAGCACUACUACAAGCACUCCAGUAACAAGUGGAUACUGUUAAGAUGUAGUUGCUGACACUAUUAAACCUCCUCUGCUGUGUGUGUA